rnacentral:rRNA from 1 species
CAUUAAAUCAGUUAUCGUUUAUUUGAUAGUACCUUACUACUUGGAUAACCGUGGUAAUUCUAGAGCUAAUACAUGCUAAAAACCCCAACUUCGGGAGGGGUGUAUUUAUUAGAUAAAAAACCAAUGCCCCUCGGGGCUCCUUGGUGAUUCAUGAUAACUUCUCAGAUCGCAUAGCCUUGUGCUGGCGACGGUUCAUUCAAAUUUCUGCCCUAUCAACUUUCGAUGGUGAGGUAUUGGCUUACCAUGGUUUCAACGGGUAACGGGGAAU